GUGGGUAUAGCUCAGUGGUAGAGUGCGUGCUUAGCAUGCACGAGGUCCUGGGUUCAAUCCCCAGUACUGCCA
rnacentral:tRNA from 1 species